ACGCAAGGGGUCUGAUUCCUGGGCUUAGGCCGUUAACCCGGACACUGUUAAGGAAACUAGCAUUUGAACUGGAGUUUCAGUGAGACAAUCCAUGGAAACGUUCUUAGCACAGAGCCUGGCCUCUGCAGUAAACACCUCAGUGAUGUUCCCUGCAGCUUAUCUGUCCCCUCGGCAGGAGCAGAAUGGGGUUUGGGGGAAGAACAUAUAGGCUGUGGGAUCACGCUGAGCUUCCACAUCUUCAUUUCUUUUUUGAAGAUGAAAAAGGCCACAUCCCUUUUAGAGUUUUGUUUGGAUGACGACAGAAAACAGUGCUGAAGAGGCUGGCGCACGGGCCGGUCUUUAGUGGGGGCUCAAUCCCCUCACAUCCCAGGUUUAUCCCCAUGCAGACUACAUUCGCCGCACCGAGUCGCUUUUCAACCCACUGUGGUUGGGCUUUGGCCCUUGGCCAUCGCUGCAACUGUUCUGCAGAUACACGCACCUCCAGGGUGGUGGUGAGGCUUAAAGGCGCGCAGUGUGUGAUCUUCGCUUGGCGUAAAGAAUGUGACGGCGUUUGUGAUUAGUGAUGAAGACCCAACUGCAACAUUCCGCAGGCCCUGGAAAUUCUCCCCCUUCUGGAGUUUUCUGUGGACCAGCCAUCACAUUCAGAGUCAACAAAGUGACAGAGAAGAUGUUAAUCAGGUCAAAAAUCCUGAGCCAGGAUUCUCACCCGAGUUUGCAAGGCUGGAUAAAAAAGUGUAAAUGGAGUUCCCCAUUGUGGCUCAGCGGUGAGCGAACUCGACGAGCAUCCACGAGGACGCGGGUUGUUCGAUCCCUGGCCUCACUCAGUGGGUUAAGGAUCUGGCAUUGCCUGUGAGCUGUGGUGUAUGUUGCAGACAGGGCUCCGAUCCCCUGUUGCUGUGGCUGUGGCGCAGGCGGGUGGCUACAGCUCUGAAUGGACCCCUAGCCUGGGAACCUCCACAUGCCGCGGGUGCAGCCCUAAAAGACAAAAAGAACAACAACAAAAAAAGUGUGGAUGGAAACCAGGAAACUGAAAAACCCUUUAACAGCCAAAUCCUGGACUGAAAGUGGUUUGCAGCUAACCCACACCCAAGAAGGUGGAGCAAGGAAUGAGACAGAUGAAGCCUGCAACGCCGUUUUUCAGCAACGGCAAAGAAAUGGCACUCACGCCAGACCCUCUGAAUGACGUCCCGGGGAAAGGAAUUGAGAGCAAACUGAAUUGGGAGUAGGAGUUUCCUCAUCGCCUAGAGACGCCUUCCUCUGAUACUAAGACCCUGGCACACUGUUGCUUUCAUCACAGUUCACAGAAUCUCAGAUCUGGACGGAUGAGGUUGUCUCAGAAUCCUGGCAUCUUUAGAUGCCUUUCCUUCCAAAGGAUUCAUGGUAGGAUCCAGAAUUCUGGCCGAGCAUCUGGUAUACCUGAUACCCUGAUAUUGUAUCAAUAUAUUGUAGCUAUUCAAAACAAGGACCUCCAAGGAGUUCCCCUGGUGCCACCGUAGAGCAUUGAUCUGGGUUGUCUCUGUGGAGGCACCGGUGCCAUCCCAGGCUCCCAGUGUGGCUGCAGCUGUGGUGUAGGUCCCAGAUCCCUGCGGUCUUACCUCCUUAUUGGCUAUGUUACCGGCCUGAAAUAAUAAUCAGCUUCUAAGAGGCUUCUGCCGUGUGGUCCCCUCCAUCUUCAAACCAGCAACGGAGAACUCCUUGCAUGUUAAGUACGGUACUUCAGCUCUUUUUAUCCAGAAAGGGUCCCCAUCCUUUUAAAGAACUUGCCUGAGGCCAAGCCCACUAAGCAUAACCUCCCUGUCUUAAACUCAGUUUUGCCAAACAGCAUGAGCCCAUCACCAAAGAGAUGGCCCAUCAUAUCUGCAGCUUUCUCUUACACCGAGGACAGAGAAGAUGACACAGAUGACUGGGAGUCAAUUUAGAAUCCUGUCCACCAUAGUAACCAUCCAAAUACCGCUCCUAGAUUUAGCCUCCUAAAAAUUAGUUCAGAAACAUUGUACGUUUUCUCAAAAGCCAGUAAGUGGUUGCUCAUUACCAACCAAAUUUAAGCUAAACAAAAUAAAUCCACAGUUCAGUAUUCA
rnacentral:lncRNA from 1 species